rnacentral:miRNA from 10 species
CCUUCUCAUACAUUCGUCACAGU